rnacentral:lncRNA from 1 species
UUUUUUUAAAAGUUUCUUUUGGCUAAAAACAUGGCCCACGUUUUUAGGAGAAAUUUGGGUAUAUACUAAUAUAUCAAAUCCCUAAUUCCUAAAAACAAACUUCACAUUCAGUCUCCCUCUCAACUCACUCUCUAUCGGUUCUAGCAUCUGUAAAUGGAUUCUUCAAGAAGCAACAUUUCUUCUCCACAAUAAAAUUCUUAGCCUCAGGUAUCUAACUACUCUCUCUUUGCUCUGUAUUUUAAUUCUCUCGCUGCAGCUUUAUUGAAUAACUUGCUCAAAUCCAAACACAAUUAAAGUGUCAAACAUACAUGUACAAAACUACAAAUGCCUAAUUUUUGUGCUAUAACUUCUUCAUCUGUUAACUGACAUGCUUUAAUAUGAUUGAUUUGAAUUUAACAAUUUAUUUGAAUUAAGAUAGAUUAAAUAGAAGUGUGAAUAUUUAAUUUUGUAGGAACGAUCCAUAAGAUUAAAAUGGAUAGAUUUCUCACUAAGCCGAAAAAUGGUGCAUCCAUAUUCCUAAAAUCCCUCUCCUUUUCUGUAUUAAGUUUUUUUUUUAAGUUUCUUUUGGCUAAAAACAUGGCCCACGUUUUUAGGAGGAAUUUGGGUAUAUACUAAUAUAUCAAAUCCCUAAUUCCUAAAAACAAACUUCACAUUCUGUCUCCCUCUCAACUCACUCUCUAUCGGUUCUAGCAUCUGUAAAUGGAUUCUUCAAGAAGCAACAUUUCUUCUCCACGACCACGUUCCUGUAAAAUUUUUAGCCGUAGGUAUCUAACUACUCUCUCCUUGUUCUGUAUUUUAAUUCUCUCGCUGCAACUUUAUUGAAUAACUUGCUCAAAUCCAAACACAAUUAAGGUGUCAAACAUACAUGAACAGAACUAUAAAUGCCUAAUUUUUGUGCUAUAACUUCUUCAUCUAAUGACUGACAUGCUUUAAUAUGAUUGAUUUGAAUUUAACAAUUUAUUUGAAUUAAGAUAGAUUAAAUAGAAGUGUGAAUAUUUAAUUUUGUAGGAACGAUUCAUAAGAUUAAAAUAGAUAGAUUUCUCACCAAGCCGAAAAAUGAUGUACCCAUAUUCUUAAAAUCCUGUAUACGCCUCUGUUCUCGAACUAUAUUGAACUGGCAGUAUAUUUUUUUAUAAGCGUAAUGCUGAUUUUAGAUAAUGAUUGUCAACAAAUUAAUAAUGCAACUUAUGAUCACCCGGCAUUGUCAAUAGUUUACUAAGAAUUGAGCAUAUUAAAAAAAAAAGAUUUAUACUCAUAGGACAGAUAUAAGGAAAUUCUUGAACACAAAAUAAAGAAUCUACACAUAAGAUCCCCUGUUACGAGAACUGGCCCUUUCUUCUAGACCAACCAAUAGAAGAGGGUGCGGGUCAAUUUCACAUCUUUGUGCCUUUUAAUUACUCGUAACACACAUCCAUACAUCUAUAUAUAAAAAUAAAACUGAAAAUUGGCCAGCUGAUGUGGCAUCCCUAUACGGUCGCUUUCAUAUUUAUCUUUUUUCUGAUUUUUUGAGAUUUUCCUCUAAUUUUAAUACCCAAAAAUCAAUUACUACCUAAAACUAAUAAUGAAAUAGAUGAGACUUAUGGAUGAGAAGAUUUCAGUUAUGGAAUAUAAAGAGAGAAUAAUUAAUUGUGACAAUUAACCAGUGUUUUAAAAGGCGUGGGCGUAAGGCGAGACGUUUUACAUAUGCCUCAGCGAGGCGUAAGCCCCGAGGCACGGGACGUAAGUCCCAUAGAUAUUUAAUUUUUAGUAUUUNNNNNNNNNNNNNNNNNNNNNNNNNGGAGAAUAUAGCUCUCUUUGUAUUUGUAAAAAAAAAAAAAUAUUCGUUGCUUUUGGGAGAUAUUAGCAAACUAGCAGACAAGAUAAAAAAUUGGGAAAGACCAUGAAUCAGGGCUUCAAUCAAUAAAAAAGGUCUUGACUUUUAAAUUUAAUACGUUUGAGUUCCUUUUAUAAACCUUUUGAGUAAUUACCAAACUGACUUUUGAGAAUUUGGGUAUUAUAUGAAGGACUUAUUAAACAAAUUUUAUUUUAAUUUGAAAAAGUUUCUGGGGCUUACUCCUCACUAAAACAAAACGCGCCCCGAACGCCCGGGCAUACCCCCGAACGCUCGGGCAUACGCCCCAAAUUGCUGGGCGUAUGCCUCUUGAGACUUUCGCCCCACACCAUCGCCCCGAGAUGUUUUUGGUACGCCUCGCCCCGAAAACGCCUUUUAAAUUAGUGCAAUUAACAAUAUAAUAUCAUAUCAGUCGCCUUACCGAUUCGUAUUUAUUUAUUAUUUAUUGUGCAAAUAAAGAAAGUAAUGAAGAAUUGUAUUAAUGGUAGUGAAAAGUGAUAAGAGAACAGUGAGGAAUCAUAAUAUAAAAGGUAAUCACUUUGCUAUUGGCUCAUAUAAACCCCUUUACUUUGCUUCCUCCAAUAAUCCGAAGCAUAUGCAAACUAGGCCAUUAAAGGUACUUAUCUUUUCUUUCUUUUUUAUUUUCCUUAUUCAUCUAAAUUAUUGUUUACCUAAUUUUUAGAAGCCCUAAUGUCUCUAGUUAUAACAUUCAACUUUUUCCCUUUUAUAAUUAUUUAUUUACUUCUUUUAACUUCCAUUUGUUAAAAGAAAUAAAUGUAGCGAAGACUCUCCAUCAUCAAAAUCUCAAUUUCUAAAUAUCUUCUGGGGAGAAAAUGCAACCGAAGCUGCAAAGGAGAGUAUGUAAGACAAUGUUAGAUCCUCUAGCUUAUCAUUUUCGACAAAUAUUUCUAAGGAUUGAAUAUCUAACAUCAUUAGGUUCUGUGCUCCUGAUUGUUGUUAAAGAUCGAUAUCAUUUUCUAUCAAUAAUGUUUAUUAGUCAUAUGUAAUAUUUAAAAAAUAUAUUGCUUCAAAUGUACGGAGUUUGUGUUUCUCAAGCUGAAGGCAAAAACAUUGACGGACGCAAAUAAGACAACCACAAGAUAGAAAGUCACGGCCAAUUAGAACUUCUCCAUAAAUUAUUCCACAUAUGCAAUGCACCAGAAAUUCAAAGGACCAUUUAGGAGGAGAAAUGGUUAACAUUGUAUGCAAACAUAUGGACUUGUAUAUGUGAAUAUUUUUAAUGUAUUUAUCAUGAUGAUCAAUUUUGAUACCCGCUUGAUAUACUUUUUCUAUGGCAUGUUAUGGAUAUUUGACUUGUAUGUAAAUUCAAACAAAG